AUUUAGUUAAAGAAAGAACUGCAGAAGGAGAGCAACAAAACAUAUCGUUCAAAGUUAACACACCUUUAAUUUUCUAUUCACAUAUAUGGAUAGAUAAUCUGUGUAGCUUAAAUAGAGAACCUCAGUGAAGGUAGUAUGUUCAUAAAACCAUAGUCGUUGCAAAAACAGAGGUGUUGCGUUGAGUUUUUAUGCUUAAUGCUUCAAAUGUAAAAGAACAGGCCGCUCAUAAAUCCUCUUAUAGAGUGAAAACUGAAAACUACAUGAUGGAGAACAAAUAAAUCGUCUAAAGGGCCAUG
rnacentral:lncRNA from 1 species